GACGAACGCUGGCGGCGUGCCUAAUACAUGCAAGUAGAACGCUGAAGGAGGAGCUUGCUCUUCUGGAUGAGUUGCGAACGGGUGAGUAACGCGUAGGUAACCUGCCUGGUAGCGGGGGAUAACUAUUGGAAACGCUAGCUAAUACCGCAUAACAGUAGAUGUUGCAUGACAUUUACUUAAAAGGUGCAAUUGCAUCACUACCAGAUGGACCUGCGUUGUAUUAGCUAGUUGGUGGGGUAACGGCUCACCAAGGCGACGAUACAUAGCCGACCUGAGAGGGUGGUAGGCUACAGUGGAGCUGAGACACGGUCGAGAUUCAUCUGGGAGGAAGCAGUCGGGAAGCUUAAGGAAUGGGCUAACGCGUUACGGAGCAACGCCGAGUGAGGGAUGAAGGUCUGAGGAUAAUAAAAUUGUGUUAUUAGGGAAGAACAAAUGUGUAAGUAACUAUGCACGUCUUGACGGUACAUAAUCAGAAAGACACGGAUAACUACGUG
rnacentral:rRNA from 1 species